rnacentral:rRNA from 1 species
UACGAAGGGGGCUAGCGUUGCUCGGAAUCACUGGGCGUAAAGCGCACGUAGGCGGAUUGCUAAGUCAGGGGUGAAAUCCCGGGGCUCAACCUCGGAACUGCCUUUGAUACAGCAAGUCUUGAGUUCGAGAGAGGUGGGUGGAAUUCCUAGUGUAGAGGUGAAAUUCGUAGAUAUUCGGAAGAACACCAGUGGCGAAGGCGGCUCACUGGCCCGGUACUGACGCUGAGAUACGAAAGCGUGGGGAGCAAACAGG